rnacentral:rRNA from 1 species
GACGAACGCUGGCGGCGUGCUUAACACAUGCAAGUCGAACGGAAAGGCCCUGCUUUUGUGGGGUGCUCGAGUGGCGAACGGGUGAGUAACACGUGAGUAACCUGCCCUUGACUUUGGGAUAUCUUCAGGAAACUGGGGCUAAUACCGGAUAGGAGCUCCUGCUGCAUGGUGGGGGUUGGAAAGUGUCGGCGGUUGGGGCUGGACUCGCGGCUUAUCAGCUUGUUGGUGGGGUAGUGGCUUACCAAGGCUUUGACGGAUAGCCGGCCUGAGAGGUGGACCGGCCACAAUGGGACUGAGAUACGGCCCAGACUGCAACGGGAGGCAGCAGGGGGAAAUAUUGCAGAAUGGGCGGAAGCCUGAUGCAGCAACGCCGCGUGCGUGAUGACGGCCUUCGGGUUGUAAACCGCUUUGGCCGGUGACGAAGCGUGAGUGACGGUAAUGGGUAAAGAAGCACCGGCUAACUACGUG